GCAAGUCGAGCGACUCUUCGAGAGGAGCGGCGAACGGCUGCGUAACACGUUGGUACCUACCUCAUACUCAGGAAUAACACGCCGAAAGGUGUGCUAAUGCCGGAUAGUCCCGCAAGGGUAAAGCUUUCGCGGUAUGAGAGGGGCCUGCGGCCUAUCAGUUUGUUGGUGAGGUAAAAGCUCACCAAGACGAUGACGGGUAGCUGAUCUGAGAGGAUGAUC
rnacentral:rRNA from 1 species